UACGGAGGGUGCAAGCGUUAUCCGGAUUUACUGGGUUUAAAGGGUGCGUAGGUGGGUUGGUAAGUCAGUGGUGAAAUACUUUCGCUUAACGAAGGAACUGCCAUUGAUACUAUCAGUCUUGAAUACAGUGGAGGUAGGCGGAAUGCGUCAUGUAGCGGUGAAAUGCUUAGAUAUGACGCAGAACACCAAUUGCGAAGGCAGCUUGCUACACUGUUAUUGACACUGAGGCACGAAAGCUAGGGGAGCAAACAGG
rnacentral:rRNA from 1 species